rnacentral:rRNA from 1 species
GACGAACGCUGGCGGCGUGCUUAACACAUGCAAGUCGAACGGAAAGGCCCUGCUUUUGUGGGGUGCUCGAGUGGCGAACGGGUGAGUAACACGUGAGUAACCUGCCCUUGACUUUGGGAUAACUUCAGGAAACUGGGGCUAAUACCGGAUAGGAGCUCCUGCUGCAUGGUGGGGGUUGGAAAGUUUCGGCGGUUGGGGAUGGACUCGCGGCUUAUCAGCUUGUUGGUGGGGUAGUGGCUUACCAAGGCUUUGACGGGUAGCCGGCCUGAGAGGGUGACCGGCCACAUUGGGACUGAGAUACGGCCCAGACUCCUACGGGAGGCAACAGUGGGGAAUAUUGCACAAUGGGCGGAAGCCUGAUGCAGCAACGCCGCGUGCGGGAUGACGGCCUUCGGGUUGUAAACCGCUUUCGCCUGUGACGAAGCGUGAGUGACGGUAAUGGGUAAGAAGCACCGGCUAACUACGUG